rnacentral:miRNA from 1 species
GUUCUUCCAGUAGUCAUGUGC